UUUUGCCAGUCAAGACUUUAAAAACCUUGUAAAUACACGACCCUUUCUUUUAAUCAAAUAGGUUUCCUUGUCUUGCCUUCAGUUUGGUUUUCAACUUAAAAGGUUACUUUGAAAAAACAAAACAAAAAAAGGAACUGUUCAAAUUGUUGCUUACUUAGUGCAAUUUUGGUUGACAUCAGGAAUUCCAACCAAAUAUCUAGUGUCAAACACUUACAUAUAUGAUAUAAAUGACUCUUACAAACUCAGUGUUGCUUUACCACAUGGCUGCCUCAGCAAAUUGUGUGUGUGUGUGUGUGUGUGUAUGUAUGCGUGCAUGCAUGUGUGUGCAAUAAUCUUGAAUAUGUUUCCUCUUAAAGUCCACUCUGGAAUUUCAGCUUACACCUCCAUGUAUCAACGUAGAAUCUAUUAUGCUCAGAUCUCCAAAUAUCAUUUAUGUAUUUGUUAAUUUAUCUGUAAGUUUAUUUUUUAUUUAUUAAAAUCAACAGAUUUGUUAAAUUAUCUUUUUAAAAUUAUUACAUUAAUUAAUAUAAAUUAAAAUUUAAUUUAUUAAUACAUUAACACAUUUAUUACCUUGCCUCAUUGCAACUUUAUUCCACAAAUUCAUUGAGAUGCUUACCAAAAUACAGAUAACCCUCAAAGAUAAAAUAAAUAUCUGUAAGAAUCCAGUGAAGGAAAAAAUAUAGUUAUAACAUAAAAAAUAUCAUAAUUCUUUGAACUUGUGAGAGGUAGACUGCAAAUUGGCUCUGACCUACCUAGCUGUCAAAGCAAAGAAAGAAAAGUACUCAAGUAUAAGAUCACAGCCUUCUGAAGACAAAAAUACUCCUAAUAUUCAGGGAAAUCAAAACUCUUGAAGAUGCUUUGGCCUGAGGAAAUUAAGAAAUUUCUCUCAAUGAUUUCUUUGAGGAACAAAGGGGCCAGUUAGAACCUUCCUUAGGAGAUGUUUAUGGGUUGGCUUUAACUCAAAGACAACUUGGCUGGUGAGGCCUCAGAGGCAGUAUCCACUAUGUUUCAAUUUUCCACUACAUGGAGCCAGGACUUUGUCUUGCUUGUCUUUUAUCUUCAGAACAUCAGGGUACUGAGGCAGGGUAAUUAAAAUUAUUCUCAUACAAAGAAGACAGAGCAACUAUCUGCCUGGGCAAAAUAAGCAUUUGGAUAUCUUUAGCGCGUAACAACAAUGAUCACAAACUUCGUUAUCAUUCUCCAAAUGAAGUAAUCUCAGGUUUGCAAUUACAGCACUUCUAUCUUUCAUUAAAGAUCUAUUGAUAGUUUCUUUCACUCUUUUAGUUCUAAAGUAUAAAAUGCAGAAUAGUGCACAAAAGCACAAAUGCGCAGCUCAAUAAAACAUCACAAGUGAACAUCCUCAACAGCAAAUAGGUUGAACACAAUAAAACAUCACAAGUGAACAUCCUCAACAGCAAAUAGGUUGAACACAAUAUUGCCAGAACUACCUCCCCAUCAUGCACUCGCCCAUGCAUUGUUUAUCUACCCUCUCUAAAAAUCAUUAUAAUCUUGCAAACUGUCCUCAAAUAUUGAGGAAAUAGCAAAUCUGAUAGAUCAAAAUGUAUUUGUUAAGGAUAUCCCUAUAGAGCCUAGGAUAGUGCAUUUUUCAGGGAUCUUUAAUUUACAUCUGGUCCCUUAAACUUUAUGUCAAUAGUUGUCUUUACUAUGGGUAGUUAAGUCUUUACAUUUUAGGGAACUGGUUACUUUUUGGUAAAUAGGGGAACUACUUAAUUCUGAGUUGGGGACCGCUGAGGGCAAAUGAAAUUGUGGAGCUUUACCCAAUGAGUUUGACAUUGUGUACACAGGCAUUGCCAGUCCACUGUUAUCUUAUGGAACAGAUUUUCUAAUCCUGACUUGAGUCUAGCAUUGCUGGCAUAUGAGAUGUUAUGACCAAAGGGUUCUCUUUGGCUGCCUUCACUGCUUCAGCUCUCAAACUCCUGAUGUAAGUACUCCUCCGCCUAGAAUGUAGGUCAGUUGGUGCUUGCUGUUACCGCAGUAAAUUAUUAAGUAAUAAUUGCAACAACACUUAGUCUGUAAGUACAGUUCUUAAGAACUCUACUUUAGCAUAUCCACUUUGUAAGUGGUAGACUGACUUACUUUGACUGCAGCUGGCCCCAGUGAAGCCAGGAGGGCAGUAACAGAUGCCAAUCACGGUGUCACAGCUGCUGCCAUUAAGGCACUUACACAUCCUUUGGCAAUUUAGACCCUAAGUACCAUUGGGCAUCCUAUUGAAGGCGAACAAAACCAUAUGUGAUACUGUAACUCAAAGCAAUCACUGUUUAAAUUCAUGCCCAUAGACAUGUGGCUAACUCAACAUUCCAAAUAGUUCUUUGGUAUUUUCAAUCAACUUCAAGCUAGUGUGGUGAUUCAAGGCAUGGACUUAUCUGAAGAGAUGAGAUGAUAUGGAUAGAUGCCUUGGUAAUAAAGAUAGGGGCAUAAUGUUCUUGAUGCUGCUCAUUAAUAAGACACAGGAAACUUUGAGUUUCCUUGGAGAUCCACCCGCUUUUAGAGAGUGCUCAGAAUAGGUGACAAUUUGCCAAAGAAGGCUAUUUCAUUCCAGUUGAGAUGAGCUCAUUAUUUUGAUUAAUGUUUAAGUGUUACAGUUUGUUUGGAAUGAUCUGGGUUUUAAUACAAGUAUAAACUCAAAAUGGUAUGAAGCAUAAAGAAAGCAUCUUCAUUUUCAGUUAGUUUCUCACUUUCCUGCUUUCACCUCCAUGGACGUAUGGCCUACCAUGAUGACACCUGUGUAACAGAUAGAUAAAUUUCCAGAAUUCAAGAUAAAGGGAAAUGAAACAGGACAAAGAGUAAGCUGAAGACCAUCUGUGCAAUGAUCGAAAGACUGGGGUUGUUUAUUCAGGAGAAAAUAGAGCUAAGAAGACAGAAAUGUCUUCAGACAUGAAAAGGCAGUCUUGUGGAAAAGAAGAAAGGCAGAUUUUAUCUCAAUAAGGAAAUACUUUUGAAAGAGCUGCCCAAGAUUGGAAUAAGCUUUUUUUUUUUUUUUUUCAGGAGACAUGGUUAUUCAUCUCUGUAGGAGUUCAAACAGAGACAGGAUAAGUAUACAGUAGAGAAAAUAUAGAGGAUAUUCAAAUACUUGAUUAACUUUGAAGCACUUCCAUCUGUGAUACUCUCCUAUUCUAUGAAAUGUCUGGUACUUCCAAGUCUUAAAAUUAUAAAAGUUUGAGUUUCAAGAGACCUCAUGUCCGUCUGGUUCAAUUCUUAUUUUAAGAUGGUAAAGUCGAGGCCUACAGAAUGAAGUGACUUGGAACAUAGAUUGCACAAAAUUCUGUCACCUGUUAAACAUCUUUAUCCUUGCCACAUAUUUAAAUAUGAGGCUAUAGGAAAUUUUGAAUAGGCUGUGAUUUGAAACCUAUAUUUUUCACAUAUUAAUGUUGUAGCUUUAACUCUUUUCUUUGAACUUCUGAUUCUUAAUUACCA
rnacentral:lncRNA from 1 species